CUCAAGAGAAGUGUGUCAAGUCGUCAUUACAAAUAGAUAAAGCUUCAUGACGUUUCCACUGAAGCUGACACCAUUCACUGGCUACCCUCAUGCUCCUUGUAUGCAUCAGCAGCAGCAGCAGCAGGCCCCGCGCCGUCACCGGGGGUGACGAUGUGGUUGCCGCGGCGAUGGGGAGCGUCGCGCGAGAGGGC